UACGUAGGGGGCUAGCGUUGUCCGGAAUCAUUGGGCGUAAAGCGCGCGUAGGCGGCCCGGUAAGUCCGCUGUAAAAGUCAAAGGCUCAACCUUUGAAUGUCAGUGGAUACUGCCGGGCUAGAGUCCGGAAGAGGCGAGUGGAACUCCUGGUGUAGCGGUGAAAUGCGCAGAUAUCAGGAGGAACACCGGUGGCGAAGGCGGGAUCCUGGGCCAGUACUGACGCUGAGGAGCGAAAGCGUGGGGAGCAAACAGG
rnacentral:rRNA from 1 species